UACAGAGGUCUCAAGCGUUGUUCGGAUUCAUUGGGCGUAAAGGGUGCGUAGGCGGCGCGGUAAGUCGGGUGUGAAAUCUCGGAGCUUAACUCCGAAACUGCAUUCGAUACUGCCGUGCUUGAGGACUGGAGAGGAGACUGGAAUUUACGGUGUAGCGGUGAAAUGCGUAGAUAUCGUAAGGAAGACCAGUGGCGAAGGCGGGUCUCUGGACAGUUCCUGACGCUGAGGCACGAAGGCCAGGGGGAGCAAAACGGG
rnacentral:rRNA from 1 species